ACGAACUCCUACGGGAGGCAGCAGUGAGGAAUAUUGGUCAAUGGGCGAGAGCCUGAACCAGCCAAGUAGCGUGCAGGAAGACGGCCCUAUGGGUUGUAAACUGCUUUUAUGCGGGGAUAAAGUGAGCCACGUGUGGCUUAUUGCAGGUACCGCAUGAAUAAGGACCGGCUAAUUCCGUGC
rnacentral:rRNA from 1 species